UACGUAAUAUACACCAUGUCAAAAAGGCAGAUGUACUUUGUGUCUUUACGCAAGCUGAUAGAAUAACAUGCGUUAAGACCAAUGUUCCGCCUAAGUGAAAUGCGUAGAUUUCUAAAUUAGCAGAUACAGCGUGGGUACAGCCCACAGCCACAGGAAGAGAGACAGUCAGAACCACCGCCAGUGCGCGAGGGAGUGCGCGUGCGACGUGUCAGCCUUUAUAAGCUUUCGCCAAACAUACUGCAAAGUCGAGGUCUAAGGGUUUGGCUGGCGAUCGCAUAAGCAACGUGCUCCCAUUUUAUCGAAGAGAAAUCGGUGCGCCCAAAACAAUUGAAUAAAAAAAAUCAAAGAUAUAUGUGAGUGUAGUGUGUUUUAUUGUACGGGGGUCUGCUGCUCUCUCGGACACGUUUCUAAGGUCUUUGUCACUGUGGUGUUUUGUCCUAUUAGUGGGCGACGCGACAAUCAAUACGUUGAAGAGGCAUCACAUUGCUGCAUACAAACUUUACCAGGAUAUUUAUUUGUUGUUUAAAUUCAAUCAUAAUUAAUAAUUGCAAAUUAAUUUAAAUAAUGCUAUUAAAUAAGAUGGUCGUAUGAUUACUUUAUGUUAUUGAAUUAUGGUAGGUAUGUUUAGAACUGGUCAAGUUUGCAUGCACCAUAAGGCAUGCGCGGGUCGACGGGAUAAUGGACAAACCCGGCCCGCGUUACUAGCACGGUACAAUACGUGUCCCUUGGACAAGCAUAAGAUAUACUUUACAGGCUGCGGAGCGCCACGACGCCACGACCUUUACUGAACAGAAAUACACACACGAAAGAUGAGCAGCUUUGUAAUGUAAGAGUGGAGUGUGACCGUCAUACCGUUUCGCCUACCUUCUUCUCCCACUGCAACACGUACGGCACGGGGACAUCUUCGGGGAAAUCCACCUGGCAGUUGAACACCACACUCUCACCGAGGAUAGCCGUAAUGUGUACGGCAUCUUGGUGGUCUUGAUGGCAAGUUACUAUAAUAUACAAAAUGAGAUUGAUAUGAAACGGCAAACGUUUAAAAUAUCCUCGUGACUCGGCCAUAGAAAAAUAAUAGUUCAUUGGCUGAUAUUCGGUAUCGCCAUAAGUACCUAGUGACUUACGUUGUGUUAACAACACACAUUAAAGUUAUAUACACA